rnacentral:rRNA from 1 species
UACGGGGGGAGCAAGCGUUGUUCGGAAUUACUGGGCGUAAAGCGCGCGUAGGCGGCUUUGUAAGUUAGAGGUGAAAGCCCGGGGCUCAACCCCGGAAUUGCCUUUAAGACUGCAUCGCUUGAAUCCGGGAGAGGUGAGUGGAAUUCCGAGUGUAGAGGUGAAAUUCGUAGAUAUUCGGAAGAACACCAGUGGCGAAGGCGGCUCACUGGACCGGUAUUGACGCUGAGGUGCGAAAGCGUGGGGAGCAAACAGG